GCCACAUCCCUGUCUGUAUUUCAACCCCAGUUCUCCACACCAUCUCCGCUUGAUUGUUGUUGCUCCUUACCCAGUGCCACCUCUACAUUCAGGCUGUAAUGGGAAUUCCAAACAUAUUGCAGGCUCACUCACCCUCGUCCUCCGUCCAGUCGGCAGGGCUCAUCCUCCGGUCCUCUUCUCCUUGGACUUCCCCCCACGGCGUCCUCCCAGUCCUCCCUUGCCUCUUCGCUUCCUCAGCCCCAGUGUCCCCUGGCUCUCUCCUCCCAGUCUCCUCGGUCCCCCGUGCCUGCGUUUUCCCGGCAUUCACCUCUCCCUCGACUCCAGUCCCUCACCCCCUUUUUCCCAAUAAAACCGGAACGUUG